rnacentral:rRNA from 1 species
AACGAACGCUGGCGGCAGGCUUAACACAUGCAAGUCGAACGGGUGUAGCAAUACAUCAGUGGCAGACGGGUGAGUAACACGUGGGAACCUUCCUAGGAGUACGGAACAACUCAGGGAAACUUGAGCUAAUACCGUAUACGUCCGUGAGGAGAAAGAUUUAUCGCCCUUAGACGGGCCCGCGUCGGAUUAGCUAGUUGGUGGGGUAACGGCCUACCAAGGCGACGAUCCGUAGCUGAUCUUAGAGGAUGAUCAGCCACACUGGGACUGAGACACGGCCCAGACUCCUACGGGAGGCAGCAGUGGGGAAUCUUGGACAAUGGGCGCAAGCCUGAUCCAGCCAUGCCGCGUGAGUGAAGAAGGUCUUCGGAUUGUAAAGCUCUUUUGCCAGGGACGAUAAUGACGGUACCUGGAGAAUAAGCCCCGGCAAACUUCGUGCCAGCCGCCGCGGUAAUAC